GCAGUGAAACAUCAGUUCCCGUACGAUCACCGACGUUAAGCAACGUCGAACCUGGUCAUUACUGAGAUGGGUGACCGCAUGAGAAUAACAGGUACUGUAA